AGACAUAUUGACUUCGUAGUCUAGAGUCUGAAGUUCAUCCUGAUGUUCCCCCUGAAGUUCAGACCU
rnacentral:sRNA from 1 species